AGAUAAUAUAUAUAUAUAUAUAUUGUAUUGUUAUCUGAAAAAGUAUUUUAGUAAAAAGUUAAAAACAUAAAUUACAUAAUUACAUAUUAAUCAAAUAAUUUUUUUUAAUUAUAUAAUUAAAAAUAUAAUGUUAACCAGGUCAAUUUAUGCUGAUGGGUAAUGUGUUGACACAUUGACAUCGAGGGGACAAGUGAUUGAAUCGGAUCGCCCGUGUUUUGUAAUGGUUAGAGAUUUGGACCCACCCAUCCACCAAAUAUUCACCCAUUUGUAAACGGACAAUAAAGCAAAUGUGUCAUAGAUAAUCAACACAUUACCCAUCAGCAUAAAUUGACCUGGUUAAGAGUCCCAGCCCUACAAGUUAUAAUUGUAUAAACAGCCUUUUUUUAAAUAGUAAUAUUUUAGCUUUCCAUUUAGGUAGGUGGAAAUUAAAGAUCUUCCAUUCAGCAGUGUGAUGUUGAGGUCCAAUUUGUUUCAAAAGGUCGUCUGGUGAUCUCUUUAUACUAGUCAUCACUCAUCAACCAUUGUCAUGGUUGUCAGUUGUCACUGCUUGCAUCCCCAUCUAUAUUUCCCUCAGGUUUACUAUCAAAUUCAUACAAAAAUAAUCUACCGUUUGCUUCUUUUUCUCGUGAAUAAAUAUUAUAAACUAAAUCUUAAUUAUUUCUAAACCUUCUAGGACUAUACUUGUCUCUCUGGAAAACAUGUAUGAUCUUGAGCAAAAAUCAACUACUCAGUCUACGUCCAUAAAGAGGAAUCAAUAAUACUAAAACCAUAACUAACCUUCGUGGUAUCCCUUGUCAAAAUAAAAUUCACAACUAUGUUUAUGGUUUCAGCUACAAAAAAAUACUCUAUUUAUUAUUUGAGAAACUGAAAUUUAAAAUACUAUCUUCAGUGGAUUAGAUAUUUGUUUAUGGAUUUCUCCUCAGAUAUGUUGAGCUACGUUCUUUUUCAAAUUAACGAAAGAAGAAGCCUAUAUACAUAUCACCUCACCUCUAUGGUAAAUAACUUGUAAAUCGUUUUAGUAUACCAGUUGGUUUUUGAGUCUUUUGCUAUCGUUGACAUUUUCAUAGCUCCAUUAUCUCUCGAGGCUAAGCUUAAAUGGCUUCUUCAAAAAAGUGUGUAUACUUUGAAUUAUUUACGUCUUAUUUCUUGUUCCUCUAACCAAACAUAAAGAAAACUUACAUCUAUAUAAGUUUUCAUGUUCUACAUUUUAUACGUUCUUUGGUUCCUGUAUGUUACAGCAUUUUCCCUUAAUCACCUAUCUUUACUUUUCAUCAACGUCACUUUGGUUUAAUAACAUUUCAUUAUCAAUUCCUGUUUGCAUACCGGUUAAAGGGACACAUGUCUAGUCCAAUAAUAAUAACAGUAUUCCUCUUUUAAAUACAAACUUUGACAUCCCUUAUAUACUAAAGUGCAAGUUGCCUAGCAAAUCAGAAAUUGACAUGUGGCAAAUUUUUGUUAAAAAAAAUUGUGCCAAUAAAAAAAUACAUGUUUCGACUCCCAAUAUUUCUAAAACUGUAAAUAAACUAAAUUCCUAGAAUUUCUCAGAUCACCAGCACGUUCGAUUCAAAUAAAAUAAAUAAUUAUCCCUAAAGUUCAACACGUUCUUAUUCCUAAAUUUUCUCAUACUAGUUUUCAGUUUCAACUCUUAUAUCACUUUUAAGCAAAUACUUUUAAUCUCUAUCUCUAUUUUUCUCCAUCGUUUCUUCUUCAUCUUUCUCUUUGUGUUUUAACUUUUGAAUGUAGCAAAGAACUCUACACAAGUUUAUGUCUCACUUUUUUCACAUUUAUUAUUCUCUACUUUACAGUUUAACACUCUGAUUUUUUAAAUUUUUGUGCAUGAUUCAGGAUGAAGGUGGUAUUUAAGAAUAUUCAUGUUUCAAAACUUCAUUCUUAAGAAGAAAGAAACCCAUGCUUUGUCAGCAACUUAGAAAACUGUAAGUAUAUCUGAAUCUACUAUGUAUAAACUGAGCAGUAACAAAUCUGUUUGUUACGGUUUGACUAUUGUACAAAUAUGUUUUCGUAUAACAACAUAUUCAACUAUAUUGUCUUAUCUUUUAAGCUCUAGGUUAGUUUUGGAUGCAGAGGAAAAUGAAGGUGAUAGAGAAGAAUCUAAAAAUGCAAAUUCAAAAAAGUAAUCUAAAAUGUGUUUUUUUUUUUAUUGAGCAUUCAUCUUUUUACUGGGUUUGGAUAUCAAACAUAUCAUUUAUAUACUAAAUCACAAGUCACAUGAGCAAUAACAUUUUGACACAUGGUAUUAAUUUUACAAAAAAAAACUAAAAACAAAUAAGAAAAACAAACCGAUUAAAAAAAUAUUCUCCAUCCCCUAUUUUUCUGCAAUUUCAACCAUCUAAUUCCUAAAUUUUCUAAAUUUUCUGAAACUUUCACCCACGUUUCAUUAUCAACUGUUUUCUUCUGUAUAUUUCCAGCUUUAAAUAUCAUUUCCAAAACUUGUUAAAACGGUCAAAAGAGUAAAGAACUUCUGCUCUUCCUUUUGUCCAUUUUUCACAGUUUCUUCAAAAGCUCAAACUCCACCGUAUUCGUCAGAUAAUAUAUGAGCCCAAACAGUAAGAUAAAUCAGAGUAGAAAUGACACUUGUGUAUACUUCUGUUUCACAGAUUCUAAAAGGAGACAAAGCUAAAUGGGAAAUAAUUUUUUAUCAGCAACAAAGGUAAGUAUUUACCUUCUUUUUACUUAUAAAUUGGUUUUAAUAUUUGUUUUGUGACUUCUCUUUAGAAAAAUUAUGUUAACUAUAUUUCUCUAAUGCAGUAGAGUUGUAUAUAUUGUAGAGCUGAUUCCAAUGCUAAGUUUUGAUUUUUCAGAGUGAACUUUAGAGGAAAGGAUGAUACUUUAGGGUAUGCACACCGUUGCUAAUAUUUCUGCUGCUGUUGCGGAGAUAACUUGGCUGGAAAUAUGUAACUUUCUUUAUAUCUCUCUUUAGUCUCACUUCCAGUUUUCUUGAGAGAGGUUUCUCAUUUUUUCACAUUGUUUCUUUCUUUGUUUGUUAGGAAUCAGCGCAUGAGAAAGAUCAGAAGUAUAAAGAAGGCAAAUUUGUUCUGGAAAGGUAACAUAGUCUCUUCUGAAAAGUUUCUCUUGGUCCAUAGUUUCAGUCAUUUAGUCAAAAAAAAGAAAAUUAUGUUAACUAUUUAGUAUUCACUACAGAUGGAGAACACUACAGAUGGAGAAAAUGAGAACACGUUGAAAUUAUGAGUUCACCCGUCACCCGUGAGCUUGCAGAAAUAUGUUAAAAUAACCAAAAAUCAGUAUUUUAAAAGUAUUAUCCCAGUUUAUUUAAAAAUACUUUAAAUAUAAUUUGCAUUCCCAAAUACAUUUUUCUCUUCAAAGAUCCAAGUAAAUUUUUGCUAUUUUACAAUAAAAAAUAGACAAAUGAAAACAAUAAAGCCAUUAAAAAUAUUAAAAAUAUAACGUGUUUGAGAAAAUUAUGAAGAAAAAUCUUAAAUGCGUUUAUUGUAGCAUUUAAAUAUGGAUAUUCAUUUUCAUAAUUGAUUUUUCUAUUGCACCUCACUCUUUAUGUUAGGUCUCAAAAUAUCAAAAACAAUAAGUAUUAUAUUUUCAAUUAUAUUUUGUCAUAAUCUAUCAUAAAUUUAUUUGUUGUAUUUAAAAUAAAUAUGCUUAACUUAAUGGAAAUUUACAACAAAAAACAAAUUAAUGAAUCAAAUAUAACACUCUAAACUAUAUUUUAUGUGUUGUAUAUAUCUCAAAUUUUAAACAUAAAAUACUUUCUACAUAUUCUAUUUUGAACUAUUUUCCGUUUACAAAGUCUUUAUUUGAAUGCAACUAUUUUAUGCAAUUGUUAUCCAUAUUUAUAGAAUAUUUAAUUAGUAUAAUCAUCUUUUGAUUUAUAAUUCUGAAAUUGCAGUUUUAUCAUCAAAUAAUUUUAAAAACAGUUAUUUUGAUUUGUGCGUAGCACGAGGGUAACACUAGUGUAUAAAUAUUUUCAAUACAGUUUAAUGCUUUUUUCUAAUUUAUUUUUGUUUCACUUUUAUCAUAUCAAAAGCUAUUUGUGCGUAGCACGGGGGUGGUUAUACUAGUUUUCCUAAAAGGGUAAUUCGACAGUACUAUUUCAUCUUCCUAAUCUUUAAUGUCAUUGUUUCUGUAUUUUCUGAAUCACAUACUUCGAGAUUGACACAUUUUUCCAUUAAACUCACUUUAUAUGUCUUGAUUCGUCAUUUCUUUACGUUUUCAGUGAGUUUACAGAGGAACUAGAUUUUUUGUUCUAAAUCUUUUUGAAAAAAUUAAUUUUACAUUUGUGUUAUUUUUUGUAAUAAUAUUUGUGUUUAAUAUUAAUUUAAUAUAAUUUUUAGUAACUAUAUUAAGUAUGUCAAGUUGCAUAACUAUGCAUUUGUGCUUUAUGCAUUUCAGGAAUUACUUUUAACUUUAUUCCUAAAGCUUGCAACAUAUUAUAUUUUCUUAGUAGUUAUUUAACAUAAUUAGUCAAGAAUAUUCGUACCCAAAAACUUCUGACUCGGAGUCGACCUGAAAAUCAAACUCUCAUACUCUAUUAGACUUUGCUUAUAUACUUGAACGUUUGUUAAAGUGUUAUAUCCAAAAACCAAUAUCAAAACUAAUCCGCACCGAAAUCUUUAUAAUAUAUUCUGUUAAAUAUAUGUAUACAUUUGGUUAAUAUGGUUUUCACUAAUUUUAAGUAAAAUCACAUUUAAUGAAUAUUUUUUUAAUCGACAACCUAUUUAAAACCGAUUAAAUGAGUUUAUAUGGAUAUUUAUUUCUAUUAAAAUCCAUUUGAACCCAUUACCAUAAACACAAUGGUGAACACAAUAGUGGACACGUUUAAUUUAAUAUAUGGUUGAAGGUAAAAGCACGGGUGAUUAAAAAUUCAUGUGAGAAGAUCACAAAAGAAAAAAUGAUUCGUUGAUAAUAUCAAACGGUUAUUGAAAGGGAGUUGGGAUUAUACUUGUGGCCUUUAUCUUUUUUGGUAAAAUUUGUGGCCUUUAUUUUUGGUAGUCCACUAAGGCAAAAGUAGUUAUAGAUAUACUCUUACGAUUCAAAAUCUUUAUAUAUAAAAUAGGCUUUGUAUCCCUCCUGGUGAUGCCACAUAGGAUGCCAGCUAGGAAAUUCGUUUCAUACCAUAUCGACACGUGUCAAGAGGGAAAACCGCAUCGUUUCAUUAACGAAAUUAUGCAAUACGUGUGGGUUUCUUUUGUGGUUUCAGAUCUACUCAAAUUUGUUUGGGCUUUUAUUAAAACCCAUAAAAACACAGAAGCUCUCUCAUCGGACUCUCCGCCCGAUACUCUCUGCCUCAGUUUUUUGUUUGUACAUCCACCGCAAGUAAAUAUCUACUAGAGUUACGUAAUCAUUGAGAAAUCCAAUCGCCGACUUUAACGCAGGCAUUAAGACCAUUACUCCCUUGCUCAGGAUCUCCUACUAUAAAAGACGACAAGGAGAGUAAAUGGCGGCGGGUGAUGUGGUGGCAAAGUGGAUUAUAGAGAGGCGGAGAUACAAAGGUGGUGAUGAUCGAUUUAUGAUGAGGCCGCCCGUAGAGUAGAUGUUGAUGAAGCUGAAUUCAUUGUCGGGACUUGGAGAAAGUUACGAACCUAGCAGCAAUAAAUACGACUAGAUUCGCAAUCAACGGUUGCCGUAAUCAGAUAGGAAGUCCAGUGAUUUCUGCCAGAGCUUUCAUCAUAAAAAUAGGAGAAGUAGCUUGGAGGAAAGAAAGGAUGACGAAAUAGAGAGAGAAGUGAUUGAAACAGAGCAUCAGUAAGUGGAAGAAUCAAGAAUUUAGAACAAAGUUGUGAUUAUUAUUAGUCUUUGUAUCGGAUCUUUGUGGAAUAAGUUAGUAAUAGAGCUCUUGGUGUGCAUCAAUGGCGAGUUAGGCGAUGGUGCAAGCUCCUCUCCAAGGUUUUACCGUUUUUAUUUUCUGAGUAAAAACAACUCAAAAGUCAAAACAAAUAAAAAGUAUAUUUGAUCACACCCAUAUAAAAUAUAAUGUACAAAAUGAUCGUAUCUGAGAUGACCUACCGAGGAAGGAUGGUUGAGUUUGGAUAUAGCUUAUCCUUUGCACAUGAUGUUUAAGUCUACAGUGAAAACGCCUAUGAGACCAUCAACCUCAGAAUAUCUAGAUAAUGAUUCUUGGUCCUUAUUGUAGAUUCACAUGGUCUAACUCAAAGGUGUUAAACUUUGUGCAGAAAUGCAAAAAGCCUAUGAAAAAUUGAAUGAGGCUUACAAGAAAUUUAUGGUGAGAACUAUUAAAAGAUUCAAACCAGCUGAUGAACUCAUCCAAGGCACAUUUUCGUAUCUAGACAUAGAGUUAGACAAGUCAAAAUUGAAAAAAAAUUCAAGGUUUCGACUCUAUUCUAACCUAAAAAUAGAAAGUGGUAUGUAACUAAAAUAGAAAUUUGGUAUAGAAGUAUAUGAUUUUAUUAAUUUAUAAAAUAUUAUUUUAAAACAAUAUUUUAAAAUAGCAUGAGAAAAAUUUAUAACAAAUAAUUUUGUUAUUAAACAAAUUUCAACAAAAGUUAUAAUAAGUUGCAAACAUAACCAGUAAAACACUAAAAAAUAAUUAAUAUUUCAUUCCAGAUAUACUUAUGAUUUGAAACAAAUAUAUUCUAAAACAUCAUUUCCUUUUAAAUUAGAUAAAUAAUUAUUAUUUAUGAUAUUAUUAUUUAUGUAGUAUUUUUAAAUUGACAUUUAAUUAUUUUAUCAUUUUAACCGAUUUAGCUUGCAGUUAGACUAAUUUAUUAUCAUGAAAAAUUAAUUAUUGUAAUUUUUUAAAAACUUUAAACUUCUUGAAUUAAAUAUAUUAAUAUUUAUUUAAACUUUAAUUCUCUUUUAUUAUGUCAAAGUGAAAUAAAAUAAUAACAAGAUAUAUAUUAUUACAUUUUCUAAAUUAUUUUUUCUAAUUAUGUUUCUCUGAAAUAAAGAAUAAAGAAGAUUACAGUCAUUUUAAUUCAAACCAAAAAUGAUUAUUCAAAAUUCUAUUCAUUAUUUAUUUGUUUAUAAUAUCAUUUUCUCUAUAAUAUUUUUUUAAUUUAUAAUAUUAAUAUAAAUUCAUAUAAAAUAGUGUUUAUUAUAAUUUCCCGCCCGUAGGGCGGGCCGAUCCUAGUAGUUACAUAUAUACAAGUUGCUUAGAAAUAACAUUUAUCAACAGGUCAUGUUACUGUUUUUAUAGAAUAGAUUUAUCUUUUUAUCUAUUUUACUGACUCAUAGUAUCUCAAAAAUUUAUAUAUCUUUUUUAUUAUAUAUAUAUAUAUAUUAUAUAAAACAGAAGUGAUUUGGCUAUUGUAUGAAUGACAUGUGUCGAUUUAUAUUUUUUUAAAAAAUUAAUUGUGUUUUUUCGGUUGAAAAGAAAAUAAUUAAUCAAAAAAAGAAUUAUUUCGUAUUGUUUCAACAAAACUGUUUUCCACUACACGUUAAUUAUCUCCCAUUAUCUUUAAGAGCAUGAUUAUUGCAAAAACCCAUACUAGGGGGUUCUUAUUACUUUCUUAAUGCUUUUAAGCACAAAAAGUGAAUUAAGAAACAAGGUUAAGAAACUCAAACAUUUAAGUGGUACAUUGCAAAGUUCUUAAGUAAGGAUUUAAAAAAAAAAACUAUUAAACAUUUUUAUAUUAAACUUAAACAUUUUUGAUUAAAUAGAAGAUGAAAU